AGGAAAGCGUUGAUAAGAAAAGAGCUUGAGAAAAUCCCUUCAGAGAGCAGCUGGUUGGUGAAAAGCUGCGGGUGACCUUGAGAAAUACACCUUGGAGCUGUCUGUUGCAAAGAUAGACCGGUCUGCCCCGUUAUGGCACAGAGUGCUUCUGUCAUGGAAGAACUAAGGUGGUACCACGCAUAUAAGCGUCCUUGGA
rnacentral:ncRNA from 1 species